CCUCACUGGCUUCUCAUUUGCAUUAAGCUGUGAGCUUCUUUAGCGUGGGGACAGGACCCUGCUCCCAUUGCAUUCUCAGCACCACACCACACACUCCUUGUUUGAGGCCACUCCAGACAGCAUGUGCUGAAGGAUGCCUUGUGGUCAGAAACAAGUUCAUUAACUUUCUCUUUGAAGUGUUUUCGCCCCUGUUUCCUAGCGUUCUGGGAAUUUUACACAUCCUUCCUAUAAAGCCAAGUAUCAGGUGAGAUCCUUAGGAUCAGGACCAUGAAUCAAGUGGUGUGAGGGCAACACAGCAAACUUACCCUUUUGAGGCCGUUUCCUUUUUCUGCCCUCAAUCUCUGUGAACUGAACCUUGUUAAAGUCAGUCAACACCAGGGUGGAUGGUUUGCCGUUGUCACCUAUUUUCAGG
rnacentral:lncRNA from 10 species